GAUGAAGAACGUAGCGAAAUGCGAUACGUAAUGUGAAUUGCAGAAUUCAGUGAAUCAUCGAAUCUUUGAACGCACAUUGCGCCCCUUGGUAUUCCGGGGGGCAUGCCUGUUCGAGCGUCAUUAUAACCCCUCAAGCUCAGCUUGGUGUUGGGGCCUGCCGACUGGCAGCCCUUAAAAUCAGUGGCGGCGCCAUCUGGCUCUAAGCGUAGUAAUUUCUCUCGCUAUAGAGUCCCGGUGGAUGCUUGCCAGCAACCCCCAACUUUCUAUGGUUGACCUCGGAUCAGGUAGGGAUACCCGCUGAACUUAAGCAUAUCAAUAAGCGGAGGA
rnacentral:misc_RNA from 1 species